rnacentral:rRNA from 1 species
AAAACUCUGUUGUUAGGGAAGAACAAGUGCUAGUUGAAUAAGCUGGCACCUUGACGGUACCUAACCAGAAAGCCACGGCUAACUACGUGCCAGCAGCCGCGGUAAUACGUAGGUGGCAAGCGUUAUCCGGAAUUAUUGGGCGUAAAGCGCGCGCAGGUGGUUUCUUAAGUCUGAUGUGAAAGCCCACGGCUCAACCGUGGAGGGUCAUUGGAAACUGGGAGACUUGAGUGCAGAAGAGGAAAGUGGAAUUCCAUGUGUAGCGGUGAAAUGCGUAGAGAUAUGGAGGAACACCAGUGGCGAAGGCGACUUUCUGGUCUGUAACUGACACUGAGGCGCGAAAGCGUGGGGAGCAAACAGGAUUAGAUACCCUGGUAGUCCACGCCGUAAACGAUGAGUGCUAAGUGUUAGAGGGUUUCCGCCCUUUAGUGCUGAAGUUAACGCAUUAAGCACUCCGCCUGGGGAGUACGGCCGCAAGGCUGAAACUCAAAUGAAUUGACGGA